rnacentral:tRNA from 1 species
CCGGGAUAGCUCAGUUGGUAGAGCAGAGGACWGAAAAUCCUCGUGUCA